rnacentral:rRNA from 1 species
UACAGAGGGGGCAAGCGUUAAUCGGAAUUACUGGGCGUAAAGCGUGCGCAGGCGGUUAUGCAAGACAGAGGUGAAAUCCCCGGGCUCAACCUGGGAACUGCCUUUGUGACUGCAUAGCUAGAGUACGGUAGAGGGGGAUGGAAUUCCGCGUGUAGCAGUGAAAUGCGUAGAUAUGCGGAGGAACACCGAUGGCGAAGGCAAUCCCCUGGACCUGUACUGACGCUCAUGCACGAAAGCGUGGGGAGCAAACAGG